rnacentral:rRNA from 1 species
GAUGGGAAACGGGUUAAUAUUCCCGUACUUGGUGUUACUGCGAAGGGGGGACGGAGAAGGCUAUGUUGGCCGGGCGACGGUUGUCCCGGUUUAAGCGUGUAGGCUGGUUUUCCAGGCAAAUCCGGAAAAUCAAGGCUGAGGCGUGAUGACGAGGCACUACGGUGCUGAAGCAACAAAUGCCCUGCUUCCAGGAAAAGCCUCUAAGCAUCAGGUAACAUCAAAUCGUACCCCAAACCGACACAGGUGGUCAGGUAGAGAAUACCAAGGCGCUUGAGAGAACUCGGGUGAAGGAACUAGGCAAAAUGGUGCCGUAACUUCGGGAGAAGGCACGCUGACACGUAGGUGAAGUGAUUUACUCAUGGAGCUGAAGUCAGUCGAAGAUACCAGCUGGCUGCAACUGUUUAUUAAAAACACAGCACUGUGCAAACACGAAAGUGGACGUAUACGGUGUGACGCCUGCCCGGUGCCGGAAGGUUAAUUGAUGGGGUCAGCGCAAGCGAAGCUCCUGAUCGAAGCCCCGGUAAACGGCGGCCGUAACUAUAACGGUCCUAAGGUAGCGAAAUUCCUUGUCGGGUAAGUUCCGACCUGCACGAAUGGCGUAAUGAUGGCCAGGCUGUCUCCACCCGAGACUCAGUGAAAUUGAACUCGCUGUGAAGAUGCAGUGUACCCGCGGCAAGACGGAAAGACCCCGUGAACCUUUACUAUAGCUUGACACUGAACAUUGAGCCUUGAUGUGUAGGAUAGGUGGGAGGCUUUGAAGUGUGGACGCCAGUCUGCAUGGAGCCGACCUUGAAAUACCACCCUUUAAUGUUUGAUGUUCUAACGUGGACCCGUUACCCGGGUUGCGGACAGUGUCUGGUGGGUAGUUUGACUGGGGCGGUCUCCUCCUAAAGAGUAACGGAGGAGCACGAAGGUUGGCUAAUCCUGGUCGGACAUCAGGAGGUUAGUGCAAUGGCAUAAGCCAGCUUGACUGCGAGCGUGACGGCGCGAGCAGGUGCGAAAGCAGGUCAUAGUGAUCCGGUGGUUCUGAAUGGAAGGGCCAUCGCUCAACGGAUAAAAGGUACUCCGGGGAUAACAGGCUGAUACCGCCCAAGAGUUCAUAUCGACGGCGGUGUUUGGCACCUCGAUGUCGGCUCAUCACAUCCUGGGGCUGAAGUAGGUCCCAAGGGUAUGGCUGUUCGCCAUUUAAAGUGGUACGCGAGCUGGGUUUAGAACGUCGUGAGACAGUUCGGUCCCUAUCUGCCGUGGGCGCUGGAGAACUGAGGGGGGCUGCUCCUAGUACGAGAGGACCGGAGUGGACGCAUCACUGGUGUUCGGGUUGUCAUGCCAAUGGCACUGCCCGGUAGCUAAAUGCGGAAGAGAUAAGUGCUGAAAGCAUCUAAGCACGAAACUUGCCCCGA